rnacentral:rRNA from 1 species
AGCGAACGCUGGCGGCAGGCUUAACACAUGCAAGUCGAGCGGGCACUUCGGUGUCAGCGGCGGACGGGUGAGUAACGCGUGGGAACGUGCCCUCUGGUUCGGAAUAACUCAGGGAAACUUGAGCUAAUACCGGAUACGCCCUUUUUGGGGAAAGGCUUGCUGCCGGAGGAUCGGCCCGCGUCUGAUUAGCUAGUUGGUGGGGUAACGGCCUACCAAGGCGACGAUCAGUAGCUGGUAUGAGAGGAUGAUCAGCCACACUGGGACUGAGACACGCCCCAGACUCCGACGGGAGGCAGCAGUGGGGAAGAUUGGACAAUGGGGGCAACCCUGCUCCAGCCAUGCCGCGUGAGGGAUGAAGGCCUUAGGGUUGUAAAGCUCUUUUAUCCGGGACGAUAAUGACGGUACCGGAGGAAUAAGCCCCGGCUAACUUCGUGCCAGCCGCCGCGGUAA